UACGUAGGGGGCAAGCGUUGUCCGGAAUCAUUGGGCGUAAAGAGCGUGUAGGCGGCCCGGUAAGUCCGCUGUGAAAGUCGGGGGCUCAACCUUUGAAAGCCGGUGGAUACUGUGGGGCUAGAGUCCGGAAGAGGCGAGUGGAAUUCCUGGUGUAGCGGUGGAAUGCGCAGAUAUCAGGAGGAACACCAAUAGCGAAGGCAGCUCGCUGGGACGGUACUGACGCUAAGGCGCGAAAGCGUGGGGAGCGAACAGG
rnacentral:rRNA from 1 species